UUCGGGUUCUAAAGCUCUUUGUGCCUUAAAGAAAUAAUGUGCUCUUAAUCCGGGGAGAUGAUGACGGUACCUGAAGAAUAAGCUCCGGCUAAUUACGUCCCAGCAGCCGCGGUAAUACGUAGGGCGCGAGCGUUUAUCGGAAUUACUGGGCGUAAAGCGUGCGCAGGCGGUUUUAUAAGUCAGAUGUGAAAUCCCCGGGCUUAACCUGGGAGUUGCAUUGAAAACUGGGAGUCUAGAGUGUGGGAGAGGAGAGUAGAAUUCCUCGUGUAGCAGUGAAAUGCGUAGAUAUGNGGAGGAACACCGAUGGCGAAGGCAGCUCUCUGGCCUAACACUGACGCUCAGGCACGAAAGCGUGGGGCGCACACAGGAUUAGAUCCCCUGGUAGUCCACGCCCUAAACGAUGUCUACUAGUUGUGGGUCAUUCAUCCCUCAGUGCCGCAGCUAACGCGU
rnacentral:rRNA from 1 species